UGCGCGAAAGCGUGAUGGGGCCACCCCGAGUGCCGUCCGCUGAGGACGGCUUUUCCCCGGUGUAGACAGCCGGGGGUAUAAGGAGAGGGCAAGCCUGGUGUCACCACCCGCGGUAAA
rnacentral:rRNA from 1 species